rnacentral:rRNA from 1 species
UGGGGAAUUUUGCACAAUGGGGGAAACCCUGAUGCAGCGACGCCGCGUGAUUUAGAAGGCCUUCGGGUUGUAAAAAUCUUUUCUAUGGGAAGAAAAUGACAGUACCAUAGGAAUAAGGACCGGCUAAUUACGUGCCAGCAGCCGCGGUAAUACGUAAGGUCCGAGCGUUGUCCGGAAUCAUUGGGCGUAAAGGGUACGUAGGCGGGUAAGCAAGUUAGAAGUGAAAUCCUAUAGCUCAACUAUAGUAAGCUUUUAAAACUGCUCAUCUUGAGGUAUGGAAGGGAAAGUGGAAUUCCUAUUGUAGCGGUGAAAUGCGCAGAUAUUAGGAGGAAUACCGGUGGCGAAGGCGACUUUCUGGCCAUAACCUGACGCUGAGGUACGAAAGCGUGGGUAGCAAACAGG